CAGUCGCCGCGGUAAUACGUAGGUCCCGAGCGUUGUCCGGAUUUAUUGGGCGUAAAGCGAGCGCAGGCGGUUAGAUAAGUCUGAAGUUAAAGGCUGUGGCUUAACCAUAGUACGCUUUGGAAACUGUUUAACUUGAGUGCAGAAGGGGAGAGUGGAAUUCCAUGUGUAGCGGUGAAAUGCGUAGAUAUAUGGAGGAACACCGGUGGCGAAAGCGGCUCUCUGGUCUGUAACUGACGCUGAGGCUCGAAAGCGUGGGGAGCAAACAGGAUUAGAUACCCCUGUAGUCCCUGUCUCUUAUACA
rnacentral:rRNA from 1 species